rnacentral:rRNA from 1 species
GAGGAAUGUAUAGCAAUAGCUAAUUGCACCAACAAACAGUUGAUGCAAUAUCGACUAUGUCGAAUAAAAUUCUAGGUAUAGUUAUGAUAAUGACAUUUUAUGCCUAUGUGUCUUGACCAAAUUACGUGCCAGCARUCGCGGUAAUACGUAGAAGACUAGUGUUAUUCAUCUUUAAUUGGUUUAAAGGGUACCUAGACGGUAAAUCAAGCCUUAACACGAGGGACUAAUAUACUAGAGUUACAUGUGAGGGAGUUCUAAAGUACUGCUGGUGUAGAGAUGAAAUUCUGUCAUACCUUUAGCGAUUAAAAGCACGGCACAGGUAUAGGCGAAGGCAUCUCCUUAUGUGAUAACUGACGUUGAGGGACGAAGGCUUUUGUAGCGAACAGGAUUAGUUACCCCAGUAGUCCAAGCAGAAAAUGAUGAAUGUCAUAGAUUAGAUAAAAAGAUUUAUUCUAUAAAUGAAAGUGUAAGCAUUCCACCUCAAGAGUAAUUUGGCAACAUUGGAACUGAAAUCAUUAGACCGUUUCUGAAACCAGUAGUGAAGUAUGUUGUUUAAUUUGAUGAUCCGCAAAGAACCUUACCACAACUUGAAUAUUUAUAUUUUAAUAUAUUUACAAGCGUUGCACGGCUGUCUUCAGUUAAUGUCGUGAGACUUUGGUUAGUUCCAUUAAAUUAACGUAAACCCUUACUUUAUUUUUAUAUAAAGUGGUUCCCCGCUAUAUUGGAUAUGAUAACAGGGACUAAGACAAGUCAUCAUGGCCUAAAUGUUGUGGGCUAUAGACGUGCCACAUAAACCUUACAAAAAAGGGGUGGUGAAAAUUGUGAAAUUGAGCUA